UAAUACGGAGGGUGCAAGCGUUAUCCGGAUUCACUGGGUUUAAAGGGUGCGUAGGUGGGUAGGUAAGUCAGUGGUGAAAUCCCCGAGCUUAACUUGGGAACUGCCGUUGAUACUAUUUAUCUUGAAUAUCGGGUAGGUAAGCGGAAUAUGUCAUGUAGCGGUGAAAUGCUUAGAUAUGACAUAGAACACCAAUUGCGAAGGCAGCUUACUUCAAGAUUAUUGACACUGAGGCACGAAAGCGUGGGGAUCAAACAGGAUUAGAUACCCUGGUAGUCCACGCCCUAAACGAUGGAUACUCGACAUCAGCGAUAUACUGUUGGUGUCUGAGCGAAAGCAUUAAGUAUCCCACCUGGGAAGUACGACCGCAAGGUUG
rnacentral:rRNA from 1 species